GCUGUUUCUCCUUCUGCCUCCCCAUUCCCUUAUGUUCCUUCUGGAGAAGAUGAUGAUUUGACGGAUUCUCCCAUGCCUACUGUUUCUUCCUUGCCUUUUGGAGAAAAUGAUGAUCUCUCUGAUUCUCCCUCAUCUGUCCAUCAACUUUCUCCAUCUUUUGAUCCUAUUCUUCUCCUCCCAUUUUGCCCUUCUCUCCUUCUGCUCAUGUUUUCAGAAAAUCCACCAGAACACAUAAUCCUCCCUCCUAUCUUAAGGACUAUGUCUGCCAACUCCCUGCCUUCUCUGGCUCUUCUUCCUCCUCUUUGGAAUCUGAACCACUGUAUUACUCUCAGGCAGCUUCAGUUCCAGCUUGGC
rnacentral:lncRNA from 1 species